UACGAAGGGGGCUAGCGUUGUUCGGAUUUACUGGGCGUAAAGCGUGCGCAGGCGGCUUCUCAAGUCAGGGGUGAAAGCCCAGAGCUCAACUCUGGAAUUGCCUUUGAGACUGAGUGGCUUGAGUACGAGAGAGGUGAGUGGAAUUCCCAGUGUAGAGGUGAAAUUCGUAGAUAUUGGGAAGAACACCGGUGGCGAAGGCGGCUCACUGGCUCGUAACUGACGCUCAUGCACGAAAGCGUGGGGAUCAAACAGG
rnacentral:rRNA from 1 species